CCUACGGGGGGCAGCAGUGAGGAAUAUUGGUCAAUGGACGAGAGUCUGAACCAGCCAAGUAGCGUGAAGGAUGACUGCCCUAUGGGUUGUAAACUUCUUUUAUAAAGGAAUAAAACGAGGCACGUGUGCCUUUUUGCAUGUACUUUAUGAAUAAGGAUCGGCUAACUCCGUGCCAGCAGCCGCGGUAAUACGGAGGAUCCGAGCGUUAUCCGGAUUUAUUGGGUUUAAAGGGAGCGUAGAUGGGUUGUUAAGUCAGUUGUGAAAGGUUGCGGCUCAACCGUAAAAUUGCAAUUGAUACUGGCAGUCUUGAGUACAGUUGAGGUAGGCGGAAUUCGUGGUGUAGCGGUGAAAUGCUUAGAUAUCACGAAGAACCCCGAUUGCGAAGGCAGCUUACUAAACUGUGACUGACAUUGAUGCUCGAAAGUGUGGGUAUCAAACAGGAUUAGAUACCCUAGUAGUC
rnacentral:rRNA from 1 species